rnacentral:tRNA from 1 species
GACCCUGUAGCGCAAUAGAUAGCGCGUUGGACUUCUCAUCCAAAGGUCAUGGAUUCGAAUCCCAACUGAGAUGGCCU